rnacentral:tRNA from 1 species
GCAGCCAUGGCCUACUGGUUAGCGCUUCGGACUUGUAACCGGAGGGUUGCCGGUUCGAACCCCACGGCUGAAGGCA